AUACGGAGGGUGCAAGCGUUACUCGGAAUCACUGGGCGUAAAGGACGCGUAGGCGGGUUGUCAAGUCUGAUGUGAAAUCCUAUGGCUCAACCAUAGAACUGCAUUGGAAACUGGCAACCGAGAGUAUGGGAGGGGGAGAUGGAAUUAGUGGUGUAGGGGUAAAAUCCGUAGAUAUCACUAGGAAUACCGAAAGCGAAGGCGAUCUCCUGGAACAUAACUGACGCUAAGGCGCGAAAGCGUGGGGAGCAAACAGGAUUAGAAACCCGAGUAGUCC
rnacentral:rRNA from 1 species